AACGAACGCUGGCGGCAUGCCUAACACAUGCAAGUCGAACGAGACCUUCGGGUCUAGUGGCGCACGGGUGCGUAACGCGUGGGAACCUGCCCUUAGGUUCGGAAUAACUCCCCGAAAGGGGUGCUAAUACCGGAUAAUGUCUUCGGACCAAAGAUUUAUCGCCUUUGGAUGGGCCCGCGUUGGCUUAGCUAGUUGGUAGGGUAAAAGCCUACCAAGGCGACGAUCCAUAGCUGGUCUGAGAGGAUGAUCAGCCACACUGGGACUGAGACACGGCCCAGACUCCUACGGGAGGCAGCAGUGGGGAAUAUUGGACAAUGGGCGAAGGCCUGAUCCAGCAAUGCCGCGUGAGUGAUGAAGGCCUUAGGGUUGUAAAGCUCUUUUACCCGGGAUGAUAAUGACAGUACCGGGAGAAUAAGCACCGGCUAACUCCGUG
rnacentral:rRNA from 1 species